CACGUAGGGGGCGAGCGUUGUCCGGAUUUAUUGGGCGUAAAGAGCUCGUAGGCGGCCACCGCAAGUCGACUGUGAAAUCUCCGGGCUUAACCCGGAAAGGUCAGCCGAUACUGCGGGGCUAGAGUGCAGAAGGGGCAACUGGAAUUCUCGGUGUAGCGGUGAAAUGCGUAGAUAUCGAGAGGAACACCUGCGGCGAAGGCGGGUUGCUGGGCUGACACUGACGCUGAGGCGCGAAAGCUAGGGGAGCGAACGGG
rnacentral:rRNA from 1 species